GUGCAACUCCCUAAGCCUCAUUUAAGGGCUGGCUGCCUGAAGGGAAGGUGUUCUAUCUGGAGAUCCUUCCUUUUGGAGUAUUUGUGGAUUUCUGCAGGUAUAAUCUGGAGGGCUGCUGAGCACUUGCAGCUCAUUGGGAAGUGAUUCAAGGACAUCUUUCACCCAGAAGUCUUGGACCAAGGCCUGACCCAGGGAAUGUAGAUGAAGUUGGAAGCUUUGCACAGGUAAUCACCUUUCAUCAACUUGGAACCACACAUGCAGUGGACAAAUAGGAAAUGCAGCAUCACAGACACUAUGAAUCAUGCAGAUUCUGGCACAUCUGUAUUUAUGACCUUUGGACCAUCUUUGAAUGGAAAAACACCAAAGCAGGUAAAUAGCUGUCACAGUGGAGGCUCUUGCUGUGAAUCAAUGUUUGAAAGACAACCUGAAUGCAGUUCAGUUUUGUACAAACAGAGCCCUUCCAGGAGCAAGUGUUGCCUUUGUGGGAAUAACAGUGACUCUACAGAUCCAAACAAUGGAGCUACAUGCUUUUGCAUUGCUUGUUCUGUCACUAACUGACAUCAGACACUGUUAAUCAUGGUUUGAAAUGUAUAUUUAAGAAACAGUGACACAAACACAGACAAGUUCCUUCAGAAAGCCUUUCAUACAGAGGAAAGUGAAAGAAAAGAAAAACUGCUCCUCGGGCUAGCUGGUGGCAUUGAAAUAAAUGGGUCAGGCAUCAGAGUUUCAGCAGGCACAAAAGGUGAACACCCUGUCUCCUGGAGCAAUUAAAAGUCAAUGGGAUUAGCAGCCUUCACUAUUAUUUAUAGAAACCCCACUGUGUGCACAACAUUACUGAAAUACAAGGGUCAAGUCCCCGGUACUGGAUGCCUACUCUUCUGCUGUUGAAGUUAAUGGGAGCUUUGCCAAUCAACUCUUUGGCAACAGAGUCUAAAUCUAGAAUAGAUGAUAUCCUGUGCUCCAUUCAGUUGAUAGCUCAAGCAAAGCCUUUGCUGAAGCCAAAUAAGUUCUGCCUGCAUGGUACAGACUUCAUCCAGGAACAGGUGAAACAGAAACGCUAUCUAUAGAAGUGCUGAAAGUCAAAGAAAGGAAAGCAGAGAGGUGGAUUGAACGUCACAGGAAGCUUCUUCCUUUCUGUUAUAAAUUGCAGUAUACAGACUGAAAUCUGAUGAGCUGCAACCCAGCAUCUCUUAGGCUUCAGAUUUAGCAGGACUGGCUGUUUUCCAAUGAAUAAUUCUCCUUCUAACACCACGUAAAUGAAUCAUGUGGGAACACACCUAUGAAAAGUACUCAGGUGGGGUGCCUGUACUGUCAUUAUGUGAUUCAACGUGUUCAAAAACAAUGUGCUGAUGUUCUAGCCAGCUUAUACAGAUCUCACCAAACAUUUGCAUCUCCUUUCCUGAGCUUCCCUGCCUUUCCACUUGCUUGUAAUGCUACUUACGUAGUUGCUCCUUAUCACACUCAUGCCUCUAAUUCAGCCUCAAACUACCUCUUAUCCUCUUUAUUUUACUCCAGAAAGAAGAUACCCAAUUCUGCUUUGUCUUACAACACUGUAAAUCAGAAAUCAAGCAUCCCAGUGAUUUCCUGAACUUCUCUGUGCUAUGGAGAAACCAGUCUGUAGAGUAGCAAUGUUUCCUGGCUUAGUUUGUGAUUUCUUUUCAUGUGCUACCAACCAGCAAGCUAAGGAGAGCUUCUAGGUAUGCCUGUAUUUGUAACAGGAGCAGGUUUGAGAUUCUCAUCUGUUAUUUCCAGUGGCACAUGCUAAGGACUGUCCAUUCAGUGGUACUCAGCAUGCAUUGCUACUACAUGGAACCAUCAAGAAUGGUGUGUUCAUCCAGACUGAGGAGCAAGAAUGAGCCAGGAAUUACCAGGUGGGGCUGUUCUGGUACACAGGAGAGAGCUCUCUAUGCAUUUAGGGCCAUCUUAGCUCCAGGCAGGUUCUGACUGUGACAGCAAGUGCCUGCAUUACCUCACAAGCACAUGAAGUCUAAACAUGCAUUGGAGAGGCACAUCUUACUGGCUGUGUGCAAGGAGCUGUUAGCCCUGGGGCUAUAGACCAGCCUUAGGAUCUGCUCCUCUUCAGUUUUCCUGAUCUCAAGAUUGAUAUCAGACCUGAAGAAUGUACUGUACUUUCAGGUGCCUUAUCUUUAAUUAAUUCUGAUGACUGUAGACAUGAUUUGGUACCCACACGGCUUUACAACCAGUAUUAAAUGUAGUUAAGUCCUUUGGCUUGCUAACGUCCUGCAGAAGGGAGCUCCACAGCCCAAUGACAUAUCACAUA